rnacentral:rRNA from 1 species
GUCUCUUUGUUGUAUAUAAGUAAAGAGUCGGGCCUGCUCGGUGAAUAAUUUUUAACAGCUGCGGUAUUUUAACUGUACUAAGGUAGCAUAAUAAUUUGCCUUAUAAUUUGAGGCUAGAAUGAAUGGUUUGACGAAGGUUAAGCUGUCUCUAUCUUAUUUUCUAGAAUUUAAUUUGUAAGUGAAAAAGCUUGCAUCUUUUAAAGGGACGAGAAGACCCUAAUGAGCUUAUAAUUUUAUUAUUAUGUUGUUAAUAAUUAAUAAUGUAACAUAUAAAUUUUAAUUGGGGUGAUUAAGGAAUAAAAUUUUUUAGUAACUUCCUUGGUAAAAAUAUUGUUAAAUAAAUUAACCAAUAUUAUUGCUUAUAGUAUAGUUACCAUAGGGAUAACAGCGUAAUUUGCUUUGAGAGUUCUUAUUGAAAAGUGAGAUUGCGACCUCGAUGUUGGAUUAAAGUAACCCUAAGGUGCAGAAGCUUUAGAUGGUAAAUCUGUUCGAUUUUUAAAACUUUACA